rnacentral:snRNA from 1 species
AUACUUACCUGGCAAAGGAGAGAUCAUGAACAAGAAGGUGACUUUUCUCAGAGCAAGGCUCAUCCAUUGCAUUCUGUGGUUUCUGCAAAUGUGGGAAACUCAACUGCAGAAAUGGGGGACUUCACUCACUCUGUCCCUUA